GAUGAACGCUGGCGGCGUGCCUAAUACAUGCAAGUCGAGCGAACAGAUGAGGAGCUUGCUCCUCUGACGUUAGCGGCGGACGGGUGAGUAACACGUGGGUAACCUACCUAUAAGACUGGGAUAACUUCGGGAAACCGGAGCUAAUACCGGAUAAUAUAUUGAACCGCAUGGUUCAGUAGUGAAAGACGGUUUUGCUGUCACUUAUAGAUGGAUCCGCGCCGCAUUAGCUAGUUGGUAAGGUAACGGCUUACCAAGGCAACGAUGCGUAGCCGACCUGAGAGGGUGAUCGGCCACACUGGAACUGAGACACGGUCCAGACUCCUACGGGAGGCAGCAGUAGGGAAUCUUCCGCAAUGGGCGAAAGCCUGACGGAGCAACGCCGCGUGAGUGAUGAAGGUCUUCGGAUCGUAAAACUCUGUUAUUAGGGAAGAACAAAUGUGUAAGUAACUAUGCACGUCUUGACGGUACCUAAUCAGAAAGCCACGGCUAACUACGUG
rnacentral:rRNA from 1 species